CCCAGUUAAAAUGGUUCAGGUAAGCAACGAAAAAUAUUUUAGUAAAACUAUAUCCAGUUCGAUAUUUGGGACAUACUUAUGCUAAAAAAUUAUUUGUUGUUUAUCUGAAAUUCAAACUUAACUGAGCAUAUUCUGU
rnacentral:miRNA from 1 species